GACGAACGCUGGCGGCGUGCUUAACACAUGCAAGUCGAACGGUAAGGCCCUUCGGGGUACACGAGUGGCGAACGGGUGAGUAACACGUGGGUGAUCUGCCCUGCACUUCGGGAUAAGCCUGGGAAACUGGGUCUAAUACCGGAUAGGACCCUGGGAUGCAUGUCCUGGGGGGGAAAGCUUUUGUGGUGUGGGAUGGGCCCGCGGCCUAUCAGCUUGUUGGUGGGGUGAUGGCCUACCAAGGCGACGACGGGUAGCCGGCCUGAGAGGGUGACCGUCCACACUGGGACUGAGAUACGGCCCAGACGCCUUCGGGAGGCAGCAGUGGGGAAUAUUGCACAAUGGGCGGAAGCCAGAUGCAGCUACGCCGCGUGAGGGAUGACGGCCUUCGGGUUGUAAACGUCUUUCAGCACCGACGAAGCGCAAAGGACGGGAGGUGCAGAAGAAGGACCGGCCAACUACGUGCCAGCAGCCGCAGUAA
rnacentral:rRNA from 1 species